GGAGGAACAGGUUUAUUGUAUUUUACAGACUAGACCAGGAGGAACAAGAGACUGACUGGAACAGGUUUACUGUAUUUUACAGACUAGACCAGGAGGAACAGGUUUAUUGUAUUUUUACAGACUAGACCAGGAGGAACAGGUUUACUGUAUUUUACAGACUAGAACAGGUUUAUUGUAUUUUACAGACUAGACCAGGAGGAACAGGUUUAUUGUAUUUUACAGACUAGACCAGGAGGAACAGGUUUAUUGUAUUUUUACAGACUAGACCAGGAGGAACAGGUUUAUUGUAUUUUACAGACUAGACCAGGAGGAACAGGUUUACUGUAUUUUACAGACUAGACCAGGAGGAACAGGUUUAUUGUAUUUUUACAGACUAGACCAGGAGGAACAGGUUUACUGUAUUUUACAGACUAGACCAGGAGGAACAGGUUUACUGUAUUUUACAGACUAGACCAGGAGGAACAGGUUUAUUGUAUUUUACAGACUAGACCAGGAGGAACAGGUUUACUGUAUUUUACAGACUAGACCAGGAGGAACAGGUUUAUUGUAUUUUACAGACUAGAACAGGUUUACUGUAUUUUUACAGACUAGACCAGGAGGAACAGGUUUAUUGUAUUUUACAGACUAGACCAGGAGGAACAGGUUUACUGUAUUUUACAGACUAGACCAGGAGGAACAG
rnacentral:lncRNA from 1 species